rnacentral:rRNA from 1 species
CCUACGGGAGGCAGCAGUGAGGAAUAUUGGUCAAUGGACGAGAGUCUGAACCAGCCAAGUAGCGUGAAGGAUGACUGCCCUAUGGGUUGUAAACUUCUUUUAUAAAGGAAUAAAACGAGGCACGUGUGCCUCUUUGCAUGUACUUUAUGAAUAAGGAUCGGCUAACUCCGUGCCAGCAGCCGCGGUAAUACGGAGGAUCCGAGCGUUAUCCGGAUUUAUUGGGUUUAAAGGGAGCGUAGAUGGGUUGUUAAGUCAGUUGUGAAAGUUUGCGGCUCAACCGUAAAAUUGCAAUUGAUACUGGCAGUCUUGAGUACAGUUGAGGUAGGCGGAAUUCGUGGUGUAGCGGUGAAAUGCUUAGAUAUCACGAAGAACCCCGAUUGCGAAGGCAGCUUACUAAACUGUGACUGACAUUGAUGCGCGAAAGUGUGGGUAUCAAACAGGAUUAGAUACCCUUGUAGUC